AUACGGAGGGUGCAGGCGUUACUCGGAAUCACUGGGCGUAAAGCGCGCGCGGGCGGCCAUUUAAGUUGGAUGUGAAAGCCUACGGCUCAACCGUAGAACUGCAUCCAAAACUAUUUGGCUAGAGUGUGGGAGAGGAAGAUGGAAUUAGUUGUGUAGGGGUAAAAUCCGUAGAGAUAACUAGGAAUACCAAAAGCGAAGGCAAUCUUCUGGAACACUACUGACGCUGAGGCGCGAAAGCGUGGGGAGCAAACGGAAUUAGAAACCCCAGUAGUCC
rnacentral:rRNA from 1 species